ensembl:lncRNA
GAAUUAGAGGCUGAGUUUGCUCUUAGCCAGUGAGUUCUUUCUUAGCCAGCAUAAGGAAGCUCCCCAGAGUCCCACAGAAAUGUAAAGACUUGAGCUUCCAUCGUAAUGUAAGGGGCAAGAAAUUUGUGUUCUUCUAAAUGCUACUAGCAGCACCAGCCUUGUUUUAAUGUUUUCUUGAGCUAGAAGAAAUAGCUGAUCGUUGUUAUAUGCAAGUUAUAUGCAUUUUUUUACUCUUCCUUGUGAACUUAUCUACCUGGUUAUCUACUCUGGGUCCAUACACAAGUAAAAUAAGAUUUUAGACAGAAGCCAGUAUACAUUUUGCACUAUUGAUGUGAUACUGUAGCCAGCAAGGACCUUCCUGAUCUCAGCAUAAUAAUGCUUAUUAAUAACAAAGACUGUGUAGGGAUGCUGAUGAACACUGAAGAUGAAACAGUUGACAUGCUCCACUGGAAGGAAUUUGAUUGUCUCCAUGGUGAUUUACUGCUUCCGCUGUUAAAAAUGAGAAAUUAGUAGCCCUCUGCAUAAUGUAGCUACCUGUGUGAAGUUCUGUCCUGGGCCCUGAAGCCUCAGUGGCAUCAGAUCCUCACAGUACCCUCCCCCUGUGCCCAGCAUCAUGCUGGGGGAGAUAGGAAGGGCAAGACAUACUUCCUGUCCUUGAAGAGCUCAUGACUGAGUCCAUGACAGGAAGCGUUCCUGGGAUGACAGGCUUAUAAAUGAAACCAUCUUAGAACAUGAGGUCUCUUCGUCUACUUCUAAACCCUCUUGAAGAGAGUUAUCCCAAAUUUUGCCCUAUAAUAAACAAGUAUCAUAGAGAGGUUUCUUUGUUUAUCUACCUUCAAGAAAGCCAACAAUUAAGUAUCACCACAGGCAUUAAUAUAUAUUUGAAAUGUUUACAGCAGCCUUUCAACAACAAUUGGGUGGCCCUUGUAGGCAGAACAUACUCAACUAAGUUGAGUUUGUAGGAAAUUACAGUGAAAAGAUAAGCUCUGUUCCUACCCUUGAGCGGGGCAUACAUUUAAUAAAAGACAAACCCAAAUAUGCACAUGAAUCAAAAUAUCAUGCCCUUUAAUACACUUUGAUAUAAGUCAUUGUGAUACGUGCUUAUGUGAUCACAGGACUACCCUGCUUUCUUUGCAUGUAGUGAAUUUUAGUGGCAGAACUGAUACAGAAACUGGUGGGGACUUUAUCAGUUGUUCCCAGUGUUCUUCACACAGGGUCUAGCCAGACAUGCCCAUUACACACGUGACUCUUUCUGGUCACUGCACCGGUACUGGCGCUUUCCUCCUGUGGUCUUGCCUCAGAGUUGGUGAUGCCCACUGGUGCCCAUUACCCUUUGAAAUAAUUUUGGUUCACAAUUUCCUUUUCCUUGUAAAGGAGAACAAAGCCUUUAACAUAGGCAUGGGCCCUAAAACUGUGGGCCCUUGAAGGAAACCUGUGAAGAUUUUUGAGGUUAAAAUUUACUUUGGUGUUCCCCAAAUAACCACAUUCCUCUUCAAAAAUUUAUUACGAUCAGUGUCCCCUGAGAACGCAGGGUGAACAUCCAAACCAGGGGAAGUUACUGAAAGGAGGGGAGGAAUCAAAGCAAAGGUUUUCUGCAUUUCAUAUUACAAAUCAGUUUUUGAGUUAGCUUUUUGUUAAGGUGUGUAUUUAGGAAAAAGUAUUCUCGAGUUUCAGGACAGCUGAGCUCACAGGUAAGGCAGCCUGGCGGCAGGACGGACACUAUGAGGCUGAAACAAUCCUUAAGAUGAAGCAGAUCAUGCAGGAACAUACAAAAGCCAAGGACAUGUAUAUUUUUAUAUCUGUGUGGUUUUAAAACUUUAGUACUUAGAAUUUUGGCCUUCUGCACUACUCUUUUGCUCUUGUAAACACAAUUUACAUUUAAGAAUGGAAAGGGAUGACAUUUACUUACGUGUUCACUGCCUCAUUCCUGAAGAAGCAACUGCUAGUUGUAUGCCUCUAUAAUGAUGCUCUUGUCUCUGCUGAAGAGAAAUAGUUGGACAAUAAGACUUGCAGCUUAAUCUGCUUGGAAUGCUUGUGUGUGACAAACUGUCAAUGAAGGAACAGUCUACGAGAAUUACAAAUGCUAACCUCUGUAAUGGUAUCUUUCUGGGGAAUGGAGAAAGGCAGUGAAAUGGCAGACUAAAGGAAGCUUGAAGGACUCAAGUAUAAAUAAUAUUUUAUAUAAAACAUAGCUGUUUAGGUUUCCUUAAUCUUCAAGAAUAGUCACAAAUAUCAUAAGGCAAAGUUCAUUGUUUUAGGGUUUUUUAAAAAUGUGUUGUACCUAAGGCCAUACUUACUCUUCUAUGCUAUCACUGCGAAGGAGUGAUAUGUAUGUAUUAUAUGAAAAAAAAUCCUUAAUGCACUGUUAUCUCCUAAAUAUUUAGUAAAUUAAUACUAUUUAAUUUUUUUAAAAAUUUGUCUGUGUAGACACUAAAAGUAUUACACAAAAUCUGGACUGAAGAUGUCCUUUUUAACAACAAUUUAAAGUACUUUUUAUAUAUGUUAUGUAGUAUAUCCUUUCUAAACUGCCUAGUUUGUAUUUCCCAUAAUUCCUCUAUGUGAAGUGUACCUGUUCUUGUCUCUUUUCAGCCAUUUUUCUGCACGCAUCCCUGUUUGUACGACUUUAGACAUGACUGUGUAUGCUUUGCCACGCCCUGUGAGGUGUGCAUUGAAAGCCGGCUGCCCCCAGCGGGGCCUGCUCCCCGGGUGCAGGACAAGCUUGCAGCUUUGGAGCCAAGUGUUUCUCGCUUUUGAGUUUUCCUGACAUCCUUCUUGAAAUGACUGUUAGAAAUGAAUUACAUUGCAUUUAUUUUAUAUUCUUGGUUGUAAUAAAAUUUAAUUGACUUUGUGUCACUGUGGAUUUUUUAAGUGUAGGAAAAACUCUUGUUACA